GAUGAACGCUGGCGGCGUGCCUAAUACAUGCAAGUCGAGCGAACGGGCGAGAAGCUUGCUUCUCUGAUGUUAGCGGCGGACGGGUGAGUAACACGUGGAUAACCUACCUAUAAGACUGGGAUAACUUCGGGAAACCGGAGCUAAUACCGGAUAAUAUUUUGAACCGCAUGGUUCAAAAGUGAAAGACGGUCUUGCUGUCACUUAUAGAUGGAUCCGCGCUGCAUUAGCUAGUUGGUAAGGUAACGGCUUACCAAGGCAACGAUGCAUAGCCGACCUGAGAGGGUGAUCGGCCACACUGGAACUGAGACACGGUCCAGACUCCUACGGGAGGCAGCAGUAGGGAAUCUUCCGCAAUGGGCGAAAGCCUGACGGAGCAACGCCGCGUGAGUGACGAAGGUCUUCGGAUCGUAAAACUCUGUUAUUAGGGAAGAACAUAUGUGUAAGUAACUGUGCACAUCUUGACGGUACCUAAUCAGAAAGCCACGGCUAACUACGUG
rnacentral:rRNA from 1 species